rnacentral:rRNA from 2 species
CCUACGGGAGGCAGCAGUGAGGAAUAUUGGUCAAUGGAGGCAACUCUGAACCAGCCAUGCCGCGUGAAGGAUGACGGCCCUAUGGGUUGUAAACUUCUUUUAUAGAGGAAGAAACUUGUCUACGUGUAGACAACUGACGGUACUCUACGAAUAAGGAUCGGCUAACUCCGUGCCAGCAGCCGCGGUAAUACGGAGGAUCCAAGCGUUAUCCGGAUUCAUUGGGUUUAAAGGGUCCGUAGGCGGGUCUUUAAGUCAGUGGUGAAAGCCGACAGCUCAACUGUCGAACUGCCAUUGAUACUGGAGACCUUGAGUACAAAUGAAGUAGGCGGAAUGAGUCAUGUAGCGGUGAAAUGCAUAGAUAUGACUCAGAACACCGAUUGCGAAGGCAGCUUACUAACAUGUAACUGACGCUGAGGGACGAAAGCGUGGGGAGCGAACAGGAUUAGAUACCCUGGUAGUCCACGCCGUAAACGAUCAUCACUCGCUGUUGGCGAUAUACUGUCAGCGGCCAAGCGAAAGUAUUAAGUGAUGCACCUGGGGAGUACGCCGGCAACGGUGAAACUCAAAGGAAUUGACGG